GAGCGGAAAGCGGCGGACGGGUGAGUAACGCGUAGGCAACCUGCCCCUUGCAGAGGGACUAGCCUCGGGAAACCGGGAUUAAAACCUCAUAAUGCGUAACGGAGACAUCUCCGAUACGCCAAAGAUUUAUCGGCAAGGGAUGGGCCUGCGUCUGAUUAGUUAGUUGGUGGGGUAACGGCCUACCAAGGCAGCGAUCAGUAGCCGACCUGAGAGGUGAUCGGCCACAUUGGAACUGAGACACGGUCCAAACUCCUACGGGAGGCAGCAGUGGGGAAUAUUGCACAAUGGGCGAAAGACCCUGAUGCAGCAACGCCGCGCGAAGGAUGAAGGCCCUUGGGUCGUAAACUUCUGUUCUAAGGGAAGAUAAUGACGGUACCUUAGGAGCAAGUCCCGGCUAACUACGUGCCAGCCGCCGC
rnacentral:rRNA from 1 species